CCCUGGCUGGGUGGUCCUGCCUUUAUGGUUGGUACUGCUUUGGCUGGGGUUCACCUUCUGGUAAAGCGGCAUGCCCUUCACUGGGUUGUGCCGGGGAACCAGGACUUUUACUUUGAAAAAAUUAGAGUGUUUAAAGCAGGCAUCCGCUUGAAUACAUUAGCAUGGAAUAAUAGAAUAGGACUUUUGGUUCUAUUUUGUUGGUUUCUAGGACCGAGGUA
rnacentral:rRNA from 1 species